rnacentral:rRNA from 1 species
GACGAACGCUGGCGGCGUGCCUAACACAUGCAAGUCGAGCGGAGGCGGAGGAGAGCCCAGCGAUGGGAAGGAGACUGCUUUAGCGGCGAACGGGUGAGUAACACGUGAGCAAUCUGCCCUCUGGAGCGGGAUAACAGACCGAAAGGCCUGCUAAUACCGCAUGAGGCCGUACUCUCGCAUGGGAGAACGGUCAAAGGGGAAACCCGCCGGAGGAGGAGCCCGCGUCCCAUUAGCUAGUUGGCGGUGUAACGGACCACCAAGGCGAUGAUGGGUAGCCGGCCUGAGAGGGUGAACGGCCACAUUGGGACUGAGACACGGCCCAGACUCCUACGGGGGGCAGCAGUGAGGGAUUUUCGGCAAUGGGCGAAAGCCUGACCGAGCGACGCCGCGUGAGCGAAGAAGGCCUUCGGGUCGUAAAGCUCUGUCUAGGGGGAAGAGAGAGGACGGUACCCCUGGAGGAAGCCACGGCUAACUACGUGCCAGCAGCCGCCGUAA